rnacentral:rRNA from 1 species
AUUGAACGCUGGUGGCAGGCCUAACACAUGCAAGUCGAGCGAGCGGCGGACGGGUGAGUAAUGUAUGGGGACUGCCCGAUAGAGGGGGAUAACUACUGGAAACGGUAGCUAAUACCGCAUACUAUCGGAUAACCCAUAUGGGAUUAGAUAGUAGUUGAGGUAAUCCCUCACCUAGGUGACGAUCCCUAGCUGGUCUGAGAGGAUGAUCAGCCACAGUGGGACUGAGACACGGACCAGACUCCUACGGAGGCAGAAGUGGGGAAGAUUGCACAAUGGGCGCAAGCAUGAUGAAGCGAUGCCGCGUGUAUGAAGAAGGACCUAGGGUUGUAAAGUACGUUCAGUCGGGAGGCGUUACCGACAGAAGAAGCACCGGCUAACUCCGUGCCAGCAGCCGCGGUAAUGC